CAGGAUGAACGCUGGCGGUCUGCUUAACACAUGCAAGUCGAACGGAGUACUUCGGUACUUAGUGGCGGACGGGUGAGUAACGCGUGAGAAUCUGCCUUCAGGUUCGGGACAACCACUGGAAACGGUGGCUAAUACCGGAUGUGCGCUACGUGAAAGAUUUAUCGCCUGAAGAGGAGCUCGCGUCCGAUUAGCUAGUUGGUGAGGUAAAAGCUCACCAAGGCGACGAUCGGUAGCUGGUCUGAGAGGAUGACCAGCCACACUGGGACUGAGACACGGCCCAGACUCCUACGGGAGGCAGCAGUGGGGAAUUUUCCGCAAUGGGCGCAAGCCUGACGGAGCAAGACCGCGUGAGGGAGGAAGGCCCUUGGGUUGUAAACCUCUUUUCUCAGGGAAGAAGCAAGUAACGGUACCUGAGGAAUAAGCCUCGGCUAACUCCGUGCCAGCAGCCGCGGUAAUACGGAGGAGGCAAGCGUUAUCCGGAAUUAUUGGGCGUAAAGCGUCCGCAGGUGGCCUGUCAAGUCUGCUGUCAAAGGUCAAGGCUUAACCUUGUCAAGGCAGUGGAAACUGACAAGCUAGAGGGCUCUAGGGGUAGAGGGAA
rnacentral:rRNA from 1 species